UUCCGGUUGAUCCUGCCGGACCCCACUGCUAUCGGGAUAGGACUAAGACAUGCUAGUCGUGUGCCUCAGCCAAAACGAGGCACGGCGCACAGCUCAGUAACACGUGGCUAACCUGCCCUUAGGACGAGAAUAACCCCGGGAAACUGGGGCUAAUGCUCGAUAGGUGAAGAACUCUGGAAUGAGUCUUCACUUAAAAGAGUCUGCGUUAUGCUCGUAGAUUUCGCUUAAGGAUGGGGCCGCGACCGAUCAGGUUGUUGGUGAGGUAAUGGCUCACCAAGCCUUUUACCGGUGCGGGCCGUGAGAGCGGGAGCCCGGAGAUGGGCACUGAGACAAGGGCCCAGGCCCUACGGGGCGCAGCAGUCGCGAAAACUUUGCAAUACACGAAAGUGUGACAGGGCUAUCCCGAGUGCCAUCCGCUGAGGAAGGCUUUUACCCAGUCUAGAACGCUGGGGGAAUAAGGAGAGGGCAAGUCUGGUGUCAGCCGCCGCGGUAAUACCAGCUCUCCGAGUGGUGUGGAUGUUUAUUAGGCCUAAAGCAUCCGUAGCUGGCUAAGUUAGUCCCCUGUUAAAUCCAACGAAUUAAUCGUUGGAUCGCGGGGGAUACUGCUUGGCUAGGGGACGAGAGAGGCAGACGGUAUUUCCGGGGUAGGGGUGAAAUCCUAUAAUCCCGGGAAGACCACCAGUGGCGAAGGCUGUCUGCUAGAACGCGCCCGACGGUGAGGGAUGAAAGCUGGGGGAGCGAACCGGAUUAGAUACCCGGGUAGUCCCAGCUGUAAACGAUGCAGGCUAGGUGUUUGGACGGCCACGUGCCGUUCUAGUGCCGCAGGGAAGCUGUUAAGCCUGCCGCCUGGGGAGUACGAUCGCAAGAUUGAAACUUAAAGGAAUUGGCGGGGGAGCACCACAAGGGGUGAAGCUUGCGGUUUAAUUGGAUUCAACGCCGGA
rnacentral:rRNA from 1 species